rnacentral:tRNA from 2 species
GCGGGCGUGGCGGAAUUGGCAGACGCGUAUGGUUCAGGUCCAUAUGAGCUUCGGCUCAUGAAGGUUCAAGUCCUUUCGCCCGCACCA